GGGGUCGUGGCUCAGUGGCAGAGCGUUUGCUCUGCAUGCAGAAGGUUGCAGGUUCAAUCCUAGCAUCUCCA